UACGUAGGGGGCAAGCGUUGUCCGGAUUUAUUGGGCGUAAAGAGCGUGUAGGCGGCCAGGUAGGUCCGCUGUGAAAACUCGAGGCUCAACCUCGAGAUGUCGGCGGAAACCAUCUGGCUAGAGUCCGGAAGAGGAGAGUGGAAUUCCUGGUGGUAGCGGUGAAAUGCGCAGAUAUCAGGAAGAACACCCGUGGCGAAGGCGGCUCUCUGGGACGGUACUGACGCUGAGACGCGAAAGCGUGGGGAGCGAACAGG
rnacentral:rRNA from 1 species